rnacentral:rRNA from 1 species
GUUCCGCUGCUUUUGACCCGUCUUGGUGGCGAUGCGCAGCUGUGCAGUGUGGUGCUUCUGCGUUCCGCUGCUUUUGACCCGUCUUGGUGGCGAUGCGCAGCAGUGCAGUGUGGUGCUUCUGCGUUCCGCUGCUUUUGACCCGUCUUGGUGGGAUGCGCAGCUGUGCAGUGUGGUGCUUCUGCGUUCCGCUGCUUUUGACCCGUCUUGGUGGCGAUGCGCAGCGUGCAGUGUGGUGCUUCUGCGUUCCGCUGCUUUUGACCCGUCUUGGUGGCGAUGCGCAGCUGUGCAGUGUGGUGCUUCUGCGUUCCGCUGCUUUUGACCCGUCUUGGUGGCGAUGCGCAGCUGUGCAGUGUGGUGCUUCUGCGUUCCGCUGCUUUUGACCCGUCUUGGUGGCGAUGCGCAGCUGUGCAGUGUGGUGCUUCUGCGUUCCGCUGCUUUUGACCCGUCUUGGUGGCGAUGCGCAGCUGUGCAGUGUGGUGCUUCUGCGUUCCGCUGCUUUUGACCCGUCUUGGUGGCGAUGCGCAGCUGUGCAGUGUGGUGCUUCUGCGUUCCGCUGCUUUUGACCCGUCUUGGUGGCGAUGCGCAGCUGUGCAGUGUGGUGCUUCUGCGUUCCGCUGCUUUUGACCCGUCUUGGUGGCGAUGCGCAGCUGUGCAGUGUGGUGCUUCUGCGUUCCGCUGCUUUUGACCCGUCUUGGUGGCGAUGCGCAGCUGUGCAGUGUGGUGCUUCUGCGUUCCGCUGCUUUUGACCGUCUUGGUGGCGAUGCGCAGCGUGCAGUGUGGUGCUUCUGCGUUCCGCUGCUUUUGACCCGUCUUGGUGGCGAUGCGCAGCUGUGCAGUGUGGUGCUUCUGCGUUCCGCUGCUUUUGACCCGUCUUGGUGGCGAUGCGCAGCUGUGCAGUGUGGUGCUUCUGCGUUCCGCUGCUUUUGACCCGUCUUGGUGGCGAUGCGCAGCUGUGCAGUGUGGUGCUUCUGCGUUCCGCUGCUUUUGACCCGUCUUGGUGGCGAUGCGCAGCUGUGCAGUGUGGUGCUUCUGCGUUCCGCUGCUUUUGACCCGUCUUGGUGGCGAUGCGCAGCUGUGCAGUGUGGUGCUUCUGCGUUCCGCUGCUUUUGACCCGUCUUGGUGGCGAUGCGCAGCUGUGCAGUGUGGUGCUUCUGCGUUCCGCUGCUUUUGACCCGUCUUGGUGGCGAUGCGCAGCUGUGCAGUGUGGUGCUUCUGCGUUCCGCUGCUUUUGACCCGUCUUGGUGGCGAUGCGCAGCUGUGCAGUGUGGUGCUUCUGCGUUCCGCUGCUUUUGACCCGUCUUGGUGGCGAUGCGCAGCUGUGCAGUGUGGUGCUUCUGCGUUCCGCUGCUUUUGACCCGUCUUGGUGGCGAUGCGCAGCUGUGCAGUGUGGUGCUUCUGCGUUCCGCUGCUUUUGACCCGUCUUGGUGGCGAUGCGCAGCUGUGCAGUGUGGUGCUUCUGCGUUCCGCUGCUUUUGACCCGUCUUGGUGGCGAUGCGCAGCUGUGCAGUGUGGUGCUUCUGCGUUCCGCUGCUUUUGACCCGUCUUGGUGGCGAUGCGCAGCAGUGCAGUGUGGUGCUUCUGCGUUCCGCUGCUUUUGACCCGUCUUGGUGGCGAUGCGCAGCUGUGCAGUGUGGUGCUUCUGCGUUCCGCUGCUUUUGACCCGUCUUGGUGGCGAUGCGCAGCUGUGCAGUGUGGUGCUUCUGCGUUCCGCUGCUUUUGACCCGUCUUGGUGGCGAUGCGCAGCUGUGCAGUGUGGUGCUUCUGCGUUCCGCUGCUUUUGACCCGUCUUGGUGGCGAUGCGCAGCUGUGCAGUGUGGUGCUUCUGCGUUCCGCUGCUUUUGACCCGUCUUGGUGGCGAUGCGCAGCUGUGCAGUGUGGUGCUUCUGCGUUCCGCUGCUUUUGACCCGUCUUGGUGGCGAUGCGCAGCAGUGCAGUGUGGUGCUUCUGCGUUCCGCUGCUUUUGACCCGUCUUGGUGGCGAUGCGCAGCUGUGCAGUGUGGUGCUUCUGCGUUCCGCUGCUUUUGACCCGUCUUGGUGGCGAUGCGCAGCGUGCAGUGUGGUGCUUCUGCGUUCCGCUGCUUUUGACCCGUCUUGGUGGCGAUGCGCAGCUGUGCAGUGUGGUGCUUCUGCGUUCCGCUGCUUUUGACCCGUCUUGGUGGCGAUGCGCAGCUGUGCAGUGUGGUGCUUCUGCGUUCCGCUGCUUUUGACCCGUCUUGGUGGCGAUGCGCAGCUGUGCAGUGUGGUGCUUCUGCGUUCCGCUGCUUUUGACCCGUCUUGGUGGCGAUGCGCAGCUGUGCAGUGUGGUGCUUCUGCGUUCCGCUGCUUUUGACCCGUCUUGGUGGCGAUGCGCAGCUGUGCAGUGUGGUGCUUCUGCGUUCCGCUGCUUUUGACCCGUCUUGGUGGCGAUGCGCAGCUGUGCAGUGUGGUGCUUCUGCGUUCCGCUGCUUUUGACCCGUCUUGGUGGCGAUGCGCAGCUGUGCAGUGUGGUGCUUCUGCGUUCCGCUGCUUUUGACCCGUCUUGGUGGCGAUGCGCAGCUGUGCAGUGUGGUGCUUCUGCGUUCCGCUGCUUUUGACCCGUCUUGGUGGCGAUGCGCAGCUGUGCAGUGUGGUGCUUCUGCGUUCCGCUGCUUUUGACCGUCUUGGUGGCGAUGCGCAGCUGUGCAGUGUGGUGCUUCUGCGUUCCGCUGCUUUUGACCCGUCUUGGUGGCGAUGCGCAGCUGUGCAGUGUGGUGCUUCUGCGUUCCGCUGCUUUUGACCCGUCUUGGUGGCGAUGCGCAGCUGUGCAGUGUGGUGCUUCUGCGUUCCGCUGCUUUUGACCCGUCUUGGUGGCGAUGCGCAGCUGUGCAGUGUGGUGCUUCUGCGUUCCGCUGCUUUUGACCCGUCUUGGUGGCGAUGCGCAGCUGUGCAGUGUGGUGCUUCUGCGUUCCGCUGCUUUUGACCCGUCUUGGUGGCGAUGCGCAGCUGUGCAGUGUGGUGCUUCUGCGUUCCGCUGCUUUUGACCCGUCUUGGUGGCGAUGCGCAGCUGUGCAGUGUGGUGCUUCUGCGUUCCGCUGCUUUUGACCCGUCUUGGUGGCGAUGCGCAGCUGUGCAGUGUGGUGCUUCUGCGUUCCGCUGCUUUUGACCCGUCUUGGUGGCGAUGCGCAGCUGUGCAGUGUGGUGCUUCUGCGUUCCGCUGCUUUUGACCCGUCUUGGUGGCGAUGCGCAGGUGCAGUGUGGUGCUUCUGCGUUCCGCUGCUUUUGACCCGUCUUGGUGGCGAUGCGCAGCUGUGCAGUGUGGUGCUUCUGCGUUCCGCUGCUUUUGACCCGUCUUGGUGGCGAUGCGCAGCAGUGCAGUGUGGUGCUUCUGCGUUCCGCUGCUUUUGACCCGUCUUGGUGGCGAUGCGCAGCAGUGCAGUGUGGUGCUUCUGCGUUCCGCUGCUUUUGACCCGUCUUGGUGGCGAUGCGCAGCUGUGCAGUGUGGUGCUUCUGCGUUCCGCUGCUUUUGACCCGUCUUGGUGGCGAUGCGCAGCUGUGCAGUGUGGUGCUUCUGCGUUCCGCUGCUUUUGACCCGUCUUGGUGGCGAUGCGCAGCAGUGCAGUGUGGUGCUUCUGCGUUCCGCUGCUUUUGACCCGUCUUGGUGGCGAUGCGCAGCUGUGCAGUGUGGUGCUUCUGCGUUCCGCUGCUUUUGACCCGUCUUGGUGGCGAUGCGCAGCUGUGCAGUGUGGUGCUUCUGCGUUCCGCUGCUUUUGACCCGUCUUGGUGGCGAUGCGCAGCUGUGCAGUGUGGUGCUUCUGCGUUCCGCUGCUUUUGACCGUCUUGGUGGCGAUGCGCAGCUGUGCAGUGUGGUGCUUCUGCGUUCCGCUGCUUUGACCCGUCUUGGUGGCGAUGCGCAGCUGUGCAGUGUGGUGCUUCUGCGUUCCGCUGCUUUUGACCCGUCUUGGUGGCGAUGCGCAGCAGUGCAGUGUGGUGCUUCUGCGUUCCGCUGCUUUUGACCCGUCUUGGUGGCGAUGCGCAGCAGUGCAGUGUGGUGCUUCUGCGUUCCGCUGCUUUUGACCCGUCUUGGUGCGAUGCGCAGCGUGCAGUGUGGUGCUUCUGCGUUCCGCUGCUUUUGACCCGUCUUGGUGGCGAUGCGCAGCUGUGCAGUGUGGUGCUUCUGCGUUCCGCUGCUUUUGACCCGUCUUGGUGGCGAUGCGCAGCUGUGCAGUGUGGUGCUUCUGCGUUCCGCUGCUUUUGACCCGUCUUGGUGGCGAUGCGCAGCUGUGCAGUGUGGUGCUUCUGCGUUCCGCUGCUUUUGACCCGUCUUGGUGGCGAUGCGCAGCAGUGCAGUGUGGUGCUUCUGCGUUCCGCUGCUUUUGACCCGUCUUGGUGGCGAUGCGCAGCUGUGCAGUGUGGUGCUUCUGCGUUCCGCUGCUUUUGACCCGUCUUGGUGGCGAUGCGCAGCUGUGCAGUGUGGUGCUUCUGCGUUCCGCUGCUUUUGACCCGUCUUGGUGGCGAUGCGCAGCUGUGCAGUGUGGUGCUUCUGCGUUCCGCUGCUUUUGACCCGUCUUGGUGGCGAUGCGCAGCAGUGCAGUGUGGUGCUUCUGCGUUCCGCUGCUUUUGACCCGUCUUGGUGGCGAUGCGCAGCGUGCAGUGUGGUGCUUCUGCGUUCCGCUGCUUUUGACCCGUCUUGGUGGCGAUGCGCAGCUGUGCAGUGUGGUGCUUCUGCGUUCCGCUGCUUUGACCCGUCUUGGUGGCGAUGCGCAGCUGUGCAGUGUGGUGCUUCUGCGUUCCGCUGCUUUUGACCCGUCUUGGUGGCGAUGCGCAGCUGUGCAGUGUGGUGCUUCUGCGUUCCGCUGCUUUUGACCCGUCUUGGUGGCGAUGCGCAGCUGUGCAGUGUGGUGCUUCUGCGUUCCGCUGCUUUUGACCCGUCUUGGUGGCGAUGCGCAGCUGUGCAGUGUGGUGCUUCUGCGUUCCGCUGCUUUUGACCCGUCUUGGUGGCGAUGCGCAGCUGUGCAGUGUGGUGCUUCUGC